rnacentral:rRNA from 1 species
AGACAGGUGCUGCAUGGCUGUCGUCAGCUCGUGUUGUGAAAUGUUGGGUUAAGUCCCGCAACGAGCGCAACCCUUAUCCUUGUUUGCCAGCGAGUCAUGUCGGGAACUCCAGGGAGACUGCCGGUGAUAAACCGGAGGAAGGUGGGGACGACGUCAAGUCAUCAUGGCCCUUACGAGUAGGGCUACACACGUGCUACAAUGGCGCAUACAGAGGGCAGCAAGCUAGCGAUAGUGAGCGAAUCCCAAAAAGUGCGUCGUAGUCCGGAUUGGAGUCUGCAACUCGACUCCAUGAAGUCGGAAUCGCUAGUAAUCGUAGAUCAGAAUGCUACGGUGAAUACGUUCCCGGGCCUUGUACACACCGCCCGUCACACCAUGGGAGUGGGCUGCAAAAGAAGUGGGUAGUUUAACCUUUCGAGGAGGACGCUCACCACUUUGUGGUUCAUGACUGGGGUGAAGUCGUAACAAGGUAGCGCUAGGGGAACCUGGCGCUGGAUCACCUCCUUAUACGAAGAU